CUUUCUGUUGCAAAUUUGCCUUGAAAACGUGAAAAAACAACACUAGUCUGCUGUUUUCCGCCCCGGGCGGAAAAACCUGUGUUUCAGGCGGAAAUUUGAAGCAGGAAAAGGGGUGCUCUCUGUUUUGGCGCCCCAGGCGGAAAUAUUGGUGUUUCAGGCGGAAGUUUCCGCCUCAGGCGGAAAAAGCUGUGUUUCGGGCGGAAAUCACUGCAGGGUAUUUAAAGGGUCACGUUUUCUGUUUUUUUUAGAGGAAGUUUUGAGGGUUUCUUUCACCAAAACGGCGGCUAGGGUUAAGAGGGUUACUCUUGGUUCAUCUCUAGGUUUUGGGUGUUGAUUCUUUCAUCUUGUAAUCACUUAUCAUUGAAAUCUCUUGGUCANNN
rnacentral:lncRNA from 1 species